rnacentral:rRNA from 1 species
AAGGAUCAUUGUCGAA